rnacentral:sRNA from 1 species
UGGUAGCGCGCCGCGCGGCCUCACCCCCUC